UACAGAGGUGCCGAGCGUUAGGCGGAAUCACUGGGGCUUAAAGCGUGUGUAGGCGGAUGCCUAAGUACCUUGUGAAAUCCCCCGGCUUAACCGGGGAACUGCUUGGUAUACUGGGUGUCUUGAGCCACUUAGGGGCGACCGGAACAAACGGUGGAGCGGUGAAAUGCGUAGAUAUCGUUUGGAACGCCAAUGGUGAAAACAGGUCGCUGGGAGUGUGCUGACGCUGAGACACGAAAGCCAGGGGAGCGAACGGG
rnacentral:rRNA from 1 species